rnacentral:rRNA from 1 species
UACGUAGGGGGCAAGCGUUGUCCGGAUUUAUUGGGCGUAAAGAGCGUGUAGGCGGCUUUACAGGUCCGUUGUGAAAACUCGAGGCUCAACCUCGAGACGCCGGUGGAAACCGUAAAGCUAGAGUCCGGAAGAGGAGAGUGGAAUUCCUGGUGUAGCGGUGAAAUGCGCAGAUAUCAGGAAGAACACCCGUGGCGAAGGCGGCUCUCUGGGACGGUACUGACGCUGAGACGCGAAAGCGUGGGGAGCGAGCAGG